AACGUAGGAGACAAACGUUAUCCGGAGUUACUGGGCGUAAGGGGCGUGUAGGCGGUUAGUUAAGUCUGGCGUGAAAGCUCUCGGCUAAACCGGGAGAGGUCGUCGGAUACUGGCAAACUAGAGGACGGUAGAGGCGUGUGGAAUUCCGGGUGUAGUGGUGAAAUGCGUAGAGAUCCGGAGGAACACCAGUGGCGAAGGCGACACGCUGGGCCGUACCUGACGCUAAAGCGCGACAGCAUGGGGAGCGAACGGG
rnacentral:rRNA from 1 species